rnacentral:lncRNA from 9 species
GGACGUUUACAGUGAGGUUCAACGAGUGUCACCUGCAUCUUUACACGCAGUUUAAACAGUAAGCCCCGUAGAGAAGCGUGGAGGUACUCGGUGCUCGGUGUUUCAGGACUUCCUUACAGAAGCCCCCGCCUCGCCUUUAAGGUGUGGAUUCUGACCUCAGUCCCUGGCCCCCGCAGGUUUCUGGGGUGGGGGUGGGAAACGACGAUGUGCGAGUUGGGACGUAGCCAAGGACCACGGUUCCUGUUUUGCGGGCCAUCCCCCGCCUUCCCAGCAGCUCCACGUUCCUUUCGCGUUGUCGUCCUUGAGCAUUUGUCGUGACAAAUGCCCCUGCAGUAUCUUAUUUAACCUGCGCAACAGCCUCCGAGAUGGGAGUUUUGUUUAUUAAACAGAAAACUGAAGCCCAGAGUAGUUUGCUCCAGAUGCAGAACCUGGGAUGGAAUCUGGGGCAUCUAAGUUCCCACUGUGCUUUCAGGUGGUCAGAUGACCCUCUGAUCAGCAUCUGCAGCACCUGAGAGCUUCUUGGAAAUGCACAUACUUGGAUCUAUUCGGGCCCUGCUGGGUUGGAAACUGAGGGAUUGGGAGACAAUCUGUGAUUAACUAGCACUGUGUGAUUCUGAGGCACCCAAAACGCUUAUCUCUUAGCCUUUUUAAAGGUAGGGAAAGGGCGGAUGUGUUUUUGAGUCCAAACUCCAUGCCAGGCACUAGGAUUAAGGCAUUUUCAUGAAUAUGUGAUGUAAUCCUAACAAUGCCCUUUUACAGGUGAGGAAACUGUAGCUCAAACUUCCCGUUGAGUGUAAUGUGUAAAAUGACACGAGGUUAUACUUGUUAGUUGCUUGUACCUUAUAUGCAUAAAAUAUCCCUGGAAGGAUAUCAAGAAGUUGUUAAUAGUGCUUUUUCAUCCAAGGAAAGGAAGCAGGUUGCCAGGACUGAGUUGGGAAGUUGUUUUUUUUUUCUUAGUAGGUCUUUGUAAAUUUUGAAUUUCAGCCACAUGGUCAAUGAAAAAUUUAUAGUUGAUGUAACAAAAAUUUUAUUUUGCCAACCUAAGGUUUAUAACCCAGGGGACACUCUUUGAGAAACCUCUGAGGACUGUUCUACUUGUUAGAGGUGAAAGCACAGUUAUACAAGUUGUUGAGACACAUGCGCUGUUCAUCAAGUGAUGUAUUAUUGGCAGUUUGCAGAACCUAGACCUAUGUAUACAAAAUGAGUCAUGGGUCAUCAUGGCCUAUUUCCAGGUUAAGAAGCAUGGUUAUCUCCUCAGGAGUUGUAACCCUUUAUGAGAUUAAGAAGGAAUGUUGGCUCCUAAGGAGGGCUGUUUAACCAAGCACAACACACACUUCAUUGUUGUUGGGGAGGGAGGCAGCCAAAAUGGGGAGAGAAAAAAAACUUACCUUUAAAUUUCCUUGUCUUGCUGUAUGAUAUGAAUUUUAUCUCAUCAGUAGGAAUUUAUAUCUUAUUCCCAAUAGAAUUAAAUAGGUAAGAAUUGUAUUCAGAACGGUAUGAAAGCAGAAACCAGAAUUUGAAGUCAGGUUUGACUGACAGCAGAUUCCAUGUGUUCUAUUGACUACAAUGACAGACUUUUAAACAUAAACUACUUUGUAAGUUUGAGGUAUUGUUAUGUAAUUAAUCAUGAAAUACUUAUUAGUUAGAAAUUUUGUUUCUGUUUUAAACCUUUGAACAAUGAUCCUAAUUCUAGUCACUACAUAACACAUUGUGUGGUGCAUAUUUCCAUUACUAGUAAUAACUAUAAGCACCUUAAAACAGACCAUAAAUGUAAUGCCUACCUUCUGAGGAAUAUUAAUGUAUAUUAAUUGAUAAUUGUGGAGUUCCCAUUGUGGCUCAGCAGGUUAAGAACCCAACAUGGUAUCCAUGAAGAAAUUUCCUUGUUCCCAUCCUUAUUCAUGGGUUAAGGAUCCGGUGUUGCCAUGAGCUGUGGUGUAGGUUGCAGACGUGGCCUCGAUCCCGCCUUGCUGUGGCUCUGGCAUAGGCCGGUGGCUACAGCUCCGAUUGGACCCCUAGCCUGGGAACCUCCAUAUGCCGAGGGAGCGGCCCUAGAAAAGGCAAAAGGACAAAAACAAACAAAAAACACAAAAAACAAAAACCAAAAAAAAAAAAACAAAAAA